AGAGUUUGAUCCUGGCUCAGGAUGAACGCUAGCGGCAGGCUUAACACAUGCAAGUCGAGGGGCAGCAUAAUGGUAGCAAUACUAUUGAUGGCGACCGGCGGACGGGUGCGUAACGCGUAUGCAACCUACCUUUAACAGGGGGAUAACACUGAGAAAUUGGUACUAAUACCCCAUAAUAUCAUAGAAGGCAUCUUUUAUGGUUGAAAAUUCCGAUGGUUAGAGAUGGGCAUGCGUUGUAUUAGCUAGUUGGUGGGGUAACGGCUCACCAAGGCGACGAUACAUAGGGGGACUGAGAGGUUAACCCCCCACACUGGUACUGAGACACGGACCAGACUCCUACGGGAGGCAGCAGUGAGGAAUAUUGGUCAAUGGACGCAAGUCUGAACCAGCCAUGCCGCGUGCAGGAUGACGGCUCUAUGAGUUGUAAACUGCUUUUGUACGAGGGUAAACGCAGAUACGUGUAUCUGUCUGAAAGUAUCGUACGAAUAAGGAUCGGCUAACUCCGUGCCAGCAGCCGCGGUAAUACGGAGGAUUCAAGCGUUAUCCGGAUUUAUUGGGUUUAAAGGGUGCGUAGGCGGUUUGAUAAGUUAGAGGUGAAAUUUCGGGGCUCAACCCUGAACGUGCCUCUAAUACUGUUGAGCUAGAGAGUAGUUGCGGUAGGCGGAAUGUAUGGUGUAGCGGUGAAAUGCUUAGAGAUCAUACAGAACACCGAUUGCGAAGGCAGCUUACCAAACUAUAUCUGACGUUGAGGCACGAAAGCGUGGGGAGCAAACAGGAUUAGAUACCCUGGUAGUCCACGCAGUAAACGAUGAUAACUCGUUGUCGGCGAUACACAGUCGGUGACUAAGCGAAAGCGAUAAGUUAUCCACCUGGGGAGUACGUUCGCAAGAAUGAAACUCAAAGGAAUUGACGGGGGCCCGCACAAGCGGAGGAACAUGUGGUUUAAUUCGAUGAUACGCGAGGA
rnacentral:rRNA from 1 species